rnacentral:rRNA from 1 species
AUUCCUACGGGGGGCAGCAGUGGGGGAUAUUGCACAAUGGGGGGAACCCUGAUGCAGCGACGCCGCGUGAAGGAAGAAGGCCCUCGGGUUGUAAACUUCUUUUGUCAGGGACGAAACAAAUGACGGUACCUGACGAAUAAGCCACGGCUAACUACGUGCCAGCAGCCGUGGUAAUACGUAGGUGGCAAGCGUUAUCCGGAUUUACUGGGUGUAAAGGGCGUGUAGGCGGGAGAGCAAGUCAGCUGUGAAAUUCCAGGGCUCAACCCUGGAACUGCAUUUGAAACUGUUUUUCU